AUUGAACGCUGGCGGAAUGCUUUACACAUGCAAGUCGAACGAUAAAGCCUAGCUUGCUAGGUCGAUUAGUGGCGAACGGGUGAGUAAUAUAUCGGAACGUAUCCAAUAAUGGGGGAUAACUAGUCGAAAGAUUGGCUAAUACCGCAUACGUCCUACGGGAGAAAGCUGGGGAGCGUAAGACCUGGCGUUAAUGGAGCGGCCGAUAUCUGAUUAGCUAGUUGGUGAGGAAAAGGCUCACCAAGGCGACGAUCAGUAGCUGGUCUGAGAGGACGACCAGCCACACGGGAACUGAGACACGGUCCAGACUCCUACGGGAGGCAGCAGUGGGGAAUUUUGGACAAUGGGCGAAAGCCUGAUCCAGCCAUUCCGCGUGAGUGAAGAAGGCCUUCGGGUUGUAAAGCUCUUUCGCAAGGGAAGAACACUUACUUAAUAACACUAAGUGAGGUUGACGGUACCUUGAUAAGAAGCACCGGCUAACUACGUGCCAGCCGCCGCGGUAAAAC
rnacentral:rRNA from 1 species